CCUACGGGUGGCAGCAGUGAGGAAUAUUGGUCAAUGGACGAGAGUCUGAACCAGCCAAGUAGCGUGAAGGAUGACUGCCCUAUGGGUUGUAAACUUCUUUUAUCUGGGAAUAAAUCGUUCCACGUGUGGGAUUUUGUAUGUACCCUAUGAAUAAGGCUCGGCUAACUCCGUGCCAGCAGCCGCGGUAAUAAGGCGGAACCGAGCGUUAUUCGGAUUUAUUGGGUUUAAAGGGAGCGUAGGGGGAUUGUUAAGUCCGUUGGGAAAGUUUGCGGCUCAACCGUAAAAGUGCAGUUGAAACUGGCAGUCUUGAGUACAGUAGAGGUGGGCGGAAUUCGUGGUGUAGCGGUGAAAUGCUUAGAUAUCACGAAGAACUCCGAUUGCGAAGGCAGUUCACUGGACUGCAACUGACACUGAGGCUCGAAAGUGUGGGUAUCAAACAGGAUUAGAUACCCCUGUAGUC
rnacentral:rRNA from 1 species